CACAAACCGGUUGGGCCCGCCCGGCCGGGCCGGCGCCGCCCGCGCCGCGGAGCUUGUGAGGGAUGCGGUGCCUCGCUCCCCGUGAGGCCGAUCCCUUACGAGCUUUAAAUUAUUCAGUCGGGACGCUGUCGCGUGAGACACCGGCUCCCGCCGGCUCCAACAAAAGCCGUCCUUAAUGUUUUAUAGGGGGAUACAGGAGAUACGCUGUUUGACACAGACGCAGUCCGGGGGGAAGGUGGCGGUGGCCACGGCCCUGCUUUCUGUCAGCGCGCUUCCUCGAGUUGAAGUAUCCCUGUUUGGGGAUGAAAUCAGAGAAGUUCAGGAAGACAAAAUGCACCACAAGGAUUUUUGA
rnacentral:lncRNA from 1 species